GUCCACGCCGUAAACGAUGGGUACUAGGCGUCUGGGGGAGCGACCCCCUGGGUGCCGGCGCUAACGCAUGAAGUACCCCGCCUGGGGAGUACGGCCGCAAGGCUGAAACUCAAAGGAAUUGACGGGGGCCCGCACAAGCGGUGGAGCAUGUGGUUUAAUUCGACGCAACGCGAAGAACCUUACCUGGGUUUGACAUGCUGGAGAAAGCUCGCAGAAACGUGAGCCCCUCUUCGGAGUUCCAGCACAGAUGCUGCAUGGCUGUCGU
rnacentral:rRNA from 1 species